GAUGAACGCUGGCGGCGUGCCUAAUACAUGCAAGUCGAGCGAACAGACGAGGAGCUUGCUCCUCUGACGUUAGCGGCGGACGGGUGAGUAACACGUGGAUAACCUACCUAUAAGACUGGGAUAACUUCGGGAAACCGGAGCUAAUACCGGAUAAUAUAUUGAACCGCAUGGUUCAAUAGUGAAAGACGGUUUUGCUGUCACUUAUAGAUGGAUCCGCGCCGCAUUAGCUAGUUGGUAAGGUAACGGCUUACCAAGGCAACGAUGCGUAGCCGACCUGAGAGGGUGAUCGGCCACACUGGAACUGAGAAACGGUCCAGACUCCUACGGGAGGCAGCAGUAGGGAAUCUGCCGCAAUGGGCGAAAGCCUGACGGAGCAACGCCGCGUGAGUGAUGAAGGUCUUCGGAUCGUAAAACUCUGUUAUUAGGGAAGAACAAAUGUGUAAGUAACUAUGCACGUCUUGACGGUACCUAAUCAGAAAGCCACGGCUAACUACGG
rnacentral:rRNA from 1 species